CACUUCUCUGAGCCUCCCUUUCCA
rnacentral:miRNA from 1 species